AUUUUUUUUUUUAAAGCAUGGUGCCCUUUAUUCUAUUUUUUCAAAAAAAGUAAGUUUUGUGCGCUGACAUUAUAUUACUACAGAUUCAUAUAUUCCUGAAUAUUUUGGAAAGAAGCCCAGGCAAUGAUUCUGUUAGCAAAUUGAGUGGCCUGUAAUACUAUCAGGGGUUUUUUCUCCUUUAUAGUCAUUCCUCCAGGAUGGUCAUCUGCCACGAUGCAGAAAAAGGAUGCCCUUCAUGGAAACCAUUAGGCGCCAGAUUAUCUACUUCUCAAAAGUGGUUCCCUCUUGAUCCUCAUGGUCUUUGAUAGAUUAUUGCCUAAUUUUGAUUUUUUUGUAGAACGUGUCUUUCCAUAACAAUAAAAUGCACUCCAUUUUGUUGUCUUAUAGCUUCCUCCCCAGUUUUUUAGAAGCCACAGGAGUAUUGUCCAGAGGACAACUUUAUCAAGACUCAUCUGCAAUUAUUUCAUGUGUUCUAUUUUUUUUUUUUAAUCCAUGGGAAUUAACUUGGCUUGUGUGGAUCACCUUUGCAAGGACACCGUCUGUUCUCGAAGCUGACUGUUCCGAUGGACGUCAGCAUGCGUGCCCAGCAUUCUGGGAGACAGCCCUGAGAUGAAGGAGAAGGCCAGAAGCCAGAAGAGAUGGAGAGCUGGGGGUGGGGCUGGCUUUGGAAAUGCAAAGUUAGGGGAAAAAAUCUUUUAUCUUAGAAAAGAGUCACAAUUUCCUUUGAGAAGUGGCAGAACAAAGAGAUUUUGUUCUCUUGCUUGUUCAAAAUUUCUUUUCAGAAACCUUAGGACUGGAAGGCAGAAACCAGGGGAGAUGGGAAGGCAAGAGAGCUUGAGAUUAGGCGGCCAGUGGUGCUGUGAAGGUGCAUGUCCUUUACACAACGGGGGUGCAGUCAUGCAUUGUGCCCAGAGCUGCCCAGCUGCUGCAGGUCACAGGAGCAGGGUGACAGUCCAUCAGAGAGGGGGGCAGUACACACACACACCUGUCAACACACCUCCCCUCCCACCUGCCCCAAACCCAGAGCUACUCCUGUCCAGGGGCUGCUCUCAAGGAACUCUCUGUGUGGCUUGCGCACUGCAGUGGGGUGGCCAAGCAGGGACUUCUGGAGUCAAAGUCACAUGCCAGAAUGGUCAAUCUUGGACACUUAAAAAAAAAAAAAAAACUGUUUCUCGAACCACGUUACUUAUAAUCUUUCUAAGUUGUCAUUUCCCCAUCUGUAAAAUGGGUAUAAUAAUAGUUCUUCCUCAUGGGAUGUGUCUGGCAUACAAAAUGUUCCUUAAGUAACAUGGACAGAAGUGAUGGGGGCAUCUCUGUUGCCAUCUCUCAGGUAUGUGGAACAGACUGAUCACUGAGAGGCACAGAGACUGAUUAUUGAGAGGGACAGAGGACUAGGACCCUUUUGGCUCAGUUUUGCUUCAGGGAACUUAUUGCCAGAACCUCGCAAGGCUCGACACUCUGGGGGUAUCACGAGAGGAGAUCCUCACGUCCCCACAGGGGGAGAUGUUCCUUAUCAGUGGAUGACCAGUUUCCCAUCAUCCACUGGAUCAUCCACUGGAUCACCAUCCACUGGAUCAGUUCCUCAUCAUCUUGAUCUUUUCAGAUCAAGAUCUAAUUCAAGGUCACUUUAGAAGCCAUGAUGAUAUGUUUUCGAUCUCACUAUGAAACCCAGAAGAACAAAAAACAACACUGAAUGACAAGCAUAACCAUUUCCCAGGGAUGGGCAGUUUCCCUGCCACCCCCAUGCCCCAUAAGGCUUACCACUAAGUCCACUUACUUGGACCAUAAGUGUUAACAGUAGGGCAUUUCCCCUUGGCAUCCGAAAUGUUUGCUAUUCUUUAAAAAGAGAAGUGGACUAUUUGAUGCAGAUGUGUAGCUUUAGCAAAACAAAAACCCACCUUUCUUUUCUUCCUAGAUGGGCUACCCUAUACUGUGGCUAAAAGGUAAAAAACAUCCAAAUGGACUUUAAACAUGGACUGGAGGAUAUCUGUAGUUUGGAAUAUUUUCUCUCUACAUUUUAAUUUCCAAAUGGUUCAAACCUUCAGAAAAGUUAACAGUACUACAAUAAACACCUGUGUGCCUGUCAUCUAAUUUCAUCAGUUAUUAUUUUGCUCAUCUUUGCUCUCCUUUUGUUUCUUUUUGGCUAUGCCACUUGAAGUUAUCGUGAUUUUAAUCAUCAAUAUGUCAGGAUACCUGUCUUAAGAGCUGAUCUCCUAUAGAAUCAUCCAACCUUAAGCACACCAAAAAGGUCACUUUAAUUCACUAAUAUUACCUAACAUGCAGUCAAUUCAAUUAGGACCAUAUGAAAUGUAUUUUCAGAGAUAAGAGUGCCAAGCAGGAAAUCUGGCUAACAAAAUCCUACUUCUCCAAAGGCCUCUGUCCAAAUGGAAGAUAUUUAAGAUAAUCAUGCUUCGAUCAGAUUAUUAGGCCACUUCUUACAAAACUAAAGCAUGACUUUAAUUUUCUAAUUUAAAAAGUUAGGCAUUAAGCAACAUCCUUUCUUCUAAAGUUGAGUUACGUUUUAGACUUUCAACAUCACCAUAAUCUGUGAAAUUCAUCUCUUGAAAAUAAAAACUACCUAAUGGACACAAUUUACCUAACAGAAAAUCAUAUGUUGGAAUUCCUGUCGUGGCGCAGCAGAAACGAAUCUGACUAGGAACCAUGAGGUUGCGGGUUCAAUCCCUGGCCUUGUUCAGUGGGUUAAGGAUCAGGCGCUGCUGUGAGCUGUGGUGUAGGUCACAGACGCGUCUCGGAUCUGGAGAUGCUAUGGCUGUGGCAUAGGCUGUCAUCUGUAGCUCCGAUUCGACCCCUAGCCUGGGAACCUCCAUAUGCCACGGGUGUGGCCCUGAAAAAACAAAAGACAAAAAAGAAAGAAAGAAAGAAAGAAAGAAAGAAAGAAAGAAAGAAAGAAAGAAAGAAAGAAAGAAAGAAAGAAAGAAAGAAAGACAGAAAGAAAGAAACGGCAAUGGCAAGAAAAUGAGUAUCGUUGGUCAUUCUUUGUUGAUUCUGUAUCACAGGCUGUCCCCUUUCCAAGGCAAAAUAUUUAAAGGACUACAGAGGAGUUCCUGGUUCUGUGCAUCACUGUCUUUAACCACAAAAUAGGAAGAAUUGUACACUGCCAACAUCACAAGGAUAUGAAGACGCUAAAGAAUAUAGAAUGAAAUUGCUUGCAGUUUAUAGGUGAUAGGAUGUAACAGAAAUCCCAGCGAUCUGCAUUUCACUGACACCUGCUGUGGUCCAGUGUCACAGAGUGGGUUGAGCUAAGUCCAGAGGGAUGACAUGCCAUCUUGGUAGAACUUAGCUUACCAUGGAGCAAAUAUCUGGUUCUCAACAGUUUAUAAUAGUCCAUAAACUUUCAGCUCAUUUUCAUUCUUAGUAUAAACAUAGAAAUGUGAAGUCCUAUGAAAUAACCACU
rnacentral:lncRNA from 1 species